GACGAACGCUGGCGGCGUGCUUAACACAUGCAAGUCGAACGGGCCUUGUCCCCUUUUUUUUUUGGGGGGGGGGUUAGUGGCGAACGGGUGAGUAAAACGUGAUUAACCUGCCCCUCACUUCUGGAUAACCGCCUGAAAGGGUGGCUAAAUCGGGGUGUUUUGUCCUGCUCGCAGGGGGGGGUUUGGAAAGGUUCGACCGUGUUUGGGUGUUUUGGGGGGGGGUGGGCUGGCGGCCUUUCAGCUUGUUGGUGGGGGGAUGGCCUGCCAGGGCUUGGACGGGGAGCCGGCCUGAGAGGGUGGGCGGUCACACUAGGGCUGAGACCCAGCCCAGACUCCUACGGGAGGCAGCAGUGGGGAAUAUUGCACAAUGGGCGCAAGCCUGAUGCAGCGACGCCGCGUGAGGGAUGGAGGCCUUCGGGUUGUGAACCUCUUUCGCCAGUGAAGAAGGUCCUGCUCUUUGUGGUGGGGUUGACGGUAGCUGGGUUAAUGAAGCGCCGGCUAACUACGUG
rnacentral:rRNA from 1 species